rnacentral:rRNA from 1 species
CCUACGGGAGGCAGCAGUGAGGAAUAUUGGUCAAUGGACGAGAGUCUGAACCAGCCAAGUAGCGUGAAGGAUGACUGCCCUAUGGGUUGUAAACUUCUUUUAUAUGGGAAUAAAACGUUCCACGUGUGGGAUUUUGUAUGUACCAUAUGAAUAAGGAUCGGCUAACUCCGUGCCAGCAGCCGCGGUAAUACGGAGGAUCCGAGCGUUAUCCGGAUUUAUUGGGUUUAAAGGGAGCUUAGGUGGAUUGUUAAGUCAGUUGUGAAAGUUUGGGGCUCAACCGUAAAAUUGCAGGUGAAACUGGCAGUCUUGAGUACAGUAGAGGUGGGCGGAAUUCGUGGUGGAGCGGUGAAAUGCUUAGAUAUCACGAAGAACUCCGAUUGCGAAGGCAGUUCACUGGACUGCAACUGACACUGAGGCUCGAAAGUGUGGGUAUCAAACAGGAUUAGAUACCCCAGUAGUC